rnacentral:lncRNA from 1 species
GAAAUGCUAAUUAUGCUGACGGUGUGGCCUCUGUUCCUGGGCUUCAGCGGAUUCCCGCAGCGCUGCCCUGCUCCCGAGCGGGGCCGCGUCUCCCUCCCGGCCUCCGCGGGGCUGAGCCCACGCAGCGCUUUCUCUGCGAGCCCCGUUCGGGCCCUUCAAGGAAGAGGGAGCCUCUUGUACCCUGACCCUACAGGCACGGCUUCUCGGCACGAGCAGGACGCUUGGCUUGCCGCCGCCAGCUCCUCUCCGAGCCCUCAGCUCGCUCCUCUCCUUCCCCGGCUUCUGCGCUCGCCCAGCGGCUCCCGCUCGCAGCGGGGCUGGUUGGGGGCUCCGUCCUGCGGGGUCCCGGGCGAUGCUGCGGGGAGACAGCGGGCAGCCGGGGCUGGGCCCAGCGGUGUCUCCCCCACCCCCCCCGCCUUAUGGGGCCGGGCCCGUCCCCUCCCACCGCGGCCCCGCGCGUGGAGCCAAGUUCAAACCGUGAGCCCCAGCGCGGCGGCGGAGCGGGACGCAGCGGGGGGCCGGGCUGGGGGCCCCCAGUGCCUGCGCGGCUCCAUGAUUCUCCCCAGGGCCCUUUCCUGCGCUGUGCUGCUGCUCCUGCUCGUCGCCGUGCUGGGCCGGGGCAAGAGGUGCAGCAUCGCCAAAAUCCUGCGGCAGUACCGCGCCGUCAUCUUCCACGAGAUCCAGAACCUGAAAAACCUGAGCGGCUCAGCGGAGAGGAGCAGCCGGGCAGGGCUGGCUUGCCGUUCGGACAAGGACCAGAAGAUCCUGCUGGCCAUCUACAACAUCAGCAUGUCCCUGCGGGACGUGGCGGGCGGCACCCUGCGUGGCCCCGAGGAGGUGGCGGUGUGGAAGGUGGCCAGGAACACCGAGUUCGUGCUCAGGGAGAACUGCAGGAAAAUCGGCAAGAGCCCACCCCGUGCCCCGGCACAGCCCCGCCGCAGGAGGAAGCAGCUGAAGGAGAUCGCGAGGAAGGCGCAGCGGCUGGCGACGUGCUGGGAGAAGCUCUACGCCCUGCACGUGCCCCAGCGGGGCUCCUAGGCUGCCUCGGGGACCUCCCCUCACCUCGUCCCCGCGGCCAGCGGGACCGCAGAGGCGCGCGCUCUGGUUUCGUGGCUGACGGCGCCUUGUUUCGGGACCUGGGGGAAAUUCAACCCCGAAGCCGGCUGAGGGGGUACCAGGGGGUGCCCGAAUUUAAUUCGUCCUCUUGUUCCAAGCGGUGCCCCAGGGACUGGCCCCGCUGCACGGGGUGGGUGCUGUAGGGUGGCUGCAGCAGCCAGCUGGGCAACCCCAGGCUGGGGGGAAGAAGAAGGGGAAGCACAGAAAAAAAGAGGAGAGAGAGACGUGGAUUUCUGUGAUGCUCCUGACCCUGCAUCACCUGCUGCUUUUUUGGGGGACAAUGGUUGCUUUUCUGGACCCAAAGAGGACAAACCGGGCCACGGGGCUGAGGCUUCUGCUGGCACUGGACUUCUACGCACCCACAGGUGGCUGAGGGUGCCCAGGGUGCCUGCAGGGUGCCAGCGUGAGCCGCUGCCCUGGCAC